AGUCGGUGAUGAUUCAAGAAUAAGAGUAGUGGACAGAAGUGAUUUCUGAGAAGUUUUACACUGAGACU